GACGAACGCUGGCGGCGUGCCUAAUACAUGCAAGUAGAACGCUGAAGGAGGAGCUUGCUUCUCUGGAUGAGUUGCGAACGGGUGAGUAACGCGUAGGUAACCUGCCUGGUAGCGGGGGAUAACUAUUGGAAACGAUAGCUAAUACCGCAUAAUAUUGACUAUUGCAUGAUAGUCAGUUGAAAGGUGCAACUGCACCACUACCAGAUGGACCUGCGUUGUAUUAGCUAGUUGGUGGGGUAACGGCUCACCAAGGCGACGAUACAUAGCCGACCUGAGAGGGUGAUCGGCCACACUGGGACUGAGACACGGCCCAGACUCCUACGGGAGGCAGCAGUAGGGAAUCUUCGGCAAUGGACGGAAGUCUGAACGAGCAACGCCGCGUGAGUGAAGAAGGUUUUCGGAUCGUAAAGCUCUGUUGUAAGAGAAGAACGAGUGUGAGAGUGGAAAGCUCACACUGUGACGGUAUCUUACCAGAAAGGGACGGCUAACUACGUG
rnacentral:rRNA from 1 species